GGUCCCAUCGUCUAGGGGUUAGGACAGCAGGUUUUCAUCCUGUAAACCCGGGUUCGAUUCCCGGUGGGAUCA
rnacentral:tRNA from 1 species